rnacentral:rRNA from 1 species
CGCUAUCACUCCUACGGGGAGGCAGCAGUAGGGAAUCUUCCACAAUGGGCGCAAGCCUGAUGGAGCAACACCGCGUGAGUGAAGAAGGGUUUCGGCUCGUAAAGCUCUGUUGUUAAAGAAGAACACGUAUGAGAGUAACUGUUCAUACGUUGACGGUAUUUAACCAGAAAGUCACGGCUAACUACGUGCCAGCAGCCGCGGUAAUACGUAGGUGGCAAGCGUUAUCCGGAUUUAUUGGGCGUAAAGAGAGUGCAGGCGGUUUUCUAAGUCUGAUGUGAAAGCCUUCGGCUUAACCGGAGAAGUGCAUCGGAAACUGGAUAACUUGAGUGCAGAAGAGGGUAGUGGAACUCCAUGUGGAGCGGUGGAAUGCGUAGAUAUAUGGAAGAACACCAGUGGCGAAGGCGGCUACCUGGUCUGCAACUGACGCUGAGACUCGAAAGCAUGGGUAGCGAACAGGAUUAGAUACCCUGGUAG